rnacentral:rRNA from 1 species
AACAAACGCUGGCGGCGUGCCUAAUACAUGCAAGUCGAACGGGGAAAGCUUUCGGGUGAGUACUAGUGGCGCACGGGUGAGGAACGCGUGGAUAAUCUGCCUUAGAGUGGGGGAUAACUAGUCGAAAGAUUAGCUAAUACCGCAUAAGACCACAGGAGCUGCGGCUCAAGGGGUCAAAGGUUUUUCGCUCUAAGAUGAGUCCGCGUAAGAUUAGCUAGUUGGUGAGGUAACGGCUCACCAAGGCGACGAUCUUUAACUGGUCUGAGAGGAUGAUCAGUCAGACUGGAACUGAGACACGGUCCAGACUCCUACGGGAGGCAGCAGUAGGGAAUAUUGCACAAUGGAGGAAACUCUGAUGCAGCGACGCCGCGUGAGUGAUGAAGGCCUUCGGGUCGUAAAGCUCUGUCGCAGGGGAAUAACACAAUGAAGGUACCCUGUAAGAAAGGAUCGGCUAACUUCGUGCCAGCCGCCGCGGUAAGAC